UGACGGCAGAUCGCGCGACUUGGCUGCGCGCGGCGCUUGGCGGUCACGUGGGCGCCGCGCACUCGGCGCUGCCCCCUUCGUCCUCCCAGUGGAAGAGAGGGCGGGACCGUGGUUCAGCACAUUGGGCUCAGAAGACUUCAAGAAGAAGACAUCUACUGAAAAACACACUCUCACCUAGAAGACAAUCUGGAAAUAUUUGAUCAAAGGCAUCAAAGAAAGGCAUCAAACCACCGCCAGACUGCAAGAGAAGGAAAGAACAGAGAAGAAUUGCAAAACAACCAUAGAACAAGCAACAAAAUGGCAAUAAGUACAUACCUAUCAACGAUUACUUGGACUGUAAAUGGACUAAUUACUCAAAAGACAUAGGGUGACUGAAUGGAUAAAAAGGCCCAUCUAUAUGCUGUCUAUGAGACUCCUUUCAGAUCUAAACACACAGAUUGAAAGAGAUGGAAAAGAAUUUAUGAUGCAGAUGGAAGUGAAAAGAAAACUGGGGUAGCAAUACUUAGAUAAAAUAGACUUUAAAACAAAGACUGUAACAAGAGACAAAGAAGGACACUAUAUAAUAAGAGGAACAAUCCAACAAGAAAAUGUCACAAUUGUAAAUAUUUAUGCACCCAACAUGAGAGUACCCAAAUACAUAAGGCAACUAUUAACAAAAUAGUAAUACAAUAAUAUUAGGGGACUCUAACACCCUGCUUACAUCAAUGGACAGAUCAUCCAGACAGGAAAAUCAACAAGGAAUCAGUAGCUCUUAAUGAUUGGACCAGGUGGAUCUAACAGAUAUAUUCAGAACAUUCCAUCCUAAAACAGUGGAAUACACAUUCUUUUCAAGUGCACAUGGGACAUUCUCCAGAAUAGAUCACAUGUUAGGCCAUAAGUCUCCCCAAAUUUAAGAAGACUAAAGUCAUACAGUGCCUCUUUUCCAGCCACAGUGGUAUCAAACCAGAAAUCAUCACAAGAGAAAACCUGGAAAGAACACAAAUAUAUGGAGGUUAAAUAACAUGUUACUAAGAAAUCAAAAAUGCAUGGAGACAAGUGAAAAUGAAAACACAACAGUCCAAAAUCUUUGGGAUGCAGCAGAAAGAGGGAAGAUUACAGCAAUUCAGGCCUACCCUCAAGAGGCAAGAAAAAUCUCAAGCAACCUAACCUCAGACCUAAAAGGAGCUAGAAGAACAAAGUCUAAGGCCAGUGGAAAGAAGGAAAUAAAGAUUAGAGCAGAAAUGAAAUAGACUUAAACAAUAGAACAGAUCAACAAAACCAGAAGCUUUUUCUUUGAAAAGAUCAACAAAAUUGAUAAACCUUUAGACAGUUUCAUUUAAAAAAAAACCCAAAAAGGACUCAAAUUCAGAAAUGAAAGAAAUAUCAACACCACAGAAAUAUAAAGGAUUUUAGUUAUUAUGAAAAAGUGUACGCCAAAUUGGACAACCUAGAAGAAAUGGAUAAAUUCCUAGAAACAUAGCCUCUCAAAACUAAAUUUACCAGUUACUGACAAUGAUUGAAUCAGCAAACAAAAAGCUCCCAAAAGUUUGGCACCAUAUAUCUUCUCAGGUGAAUUCUACCAAACAUUUAAAGAAGAGUUAAUAUCUAUUCUUCUUAAACUAUUCCAAAAAAUAGAAGAGGAAGGAUAACUUCUAAAUUCAUUCUAUAAGGCCAGCAUUAUUCUGAUACCAAAACCAGAGAAGGACACCACAAGAAAAGAACUAUAGGCCAAUAUCUCUGAUGAACAUAGAUACAAAAACUCUCAACCAACUAUUAGCAAACCAAAUCCCACAGCAAAAAAUUAAACCACGAUCAAGUGGGAUGUAAAAAAUUCACCACGAUCAAGUGGGAUUUAUUCCAGGGAUGGAAUGUGGUCCGUUAUUCACAAAUCAAUGUGAUAUAUCACAUCAACAAGACAAAAGAUAAAAGCCAUGUGAUUGUUUCAAUAUAUGUAGAAGAAGCAUUUGACAAAGUACAACAUCCAUUAAAAAAUUCAAAGGUUUAGAGGGAAUAUACCUCAACAUAAUAAAGGCCAUUUGUGGAAAAACCCAAAGCUAACAUCCUACUCACUGGUGUGAGUUUUCCCUCUAAGAAAAAAGGAUGUCCAUUCACCACUUUUAUUCAACAUAGUACUGGAAGUCCUAGCCACAGCAAUCAGACAAGAAAAUAAAAGGAAUCAAAAUCAGUAUAGAAGUAAAACUUUCACUAGUUGCAGAAGACAUUAUACUAUAUAUAGAAAAUUCUAAAGAAUUCACCAACAACCUGCUAGAACUGAUAAUUCGGUCAGGUCACAGGAUACAAAAAUCAAUAUACAGAAAUCUGUUGCAUUUCUGUACACUAAUAAUUAAGCAGAAGAAAAAUUAAGAAAAUGGUCCUAUUUACUGUUGCACCAAAAGUAGAAUACAUAGUAAACUUAACCAAAGAGGUGAAAGACCUGUACUCUGAAAACUGUAAAAUAUUUAUGAAACAAAUUGAAGACAAUACAAACAAAAGGAAAUACGUUCAGUGCUCAUGAAUGAGAAUCUUGUUUAAAUGUCCAUGAUACCCAUAGCAAUGUACAGAUUUAAUACAAUCCCUAUCAAAAUACCAAGAGCAUUUUCCAUAGAACUAGAACAAAUAAUCCUAAAGUUUGUACAGAACCACAAAAGACCCUGAAUAGCCAAAGCAAUCUUGAAAAAGAGAAACAAAACUGGAGGUAUCACAAUUCCAAAUUUCAAGAUACACUACAAAGCUACAGUACUCAAAACAGUAUGGUACUUACACAAAAAUAGAUACAUAGAUCAAUGGAACAGAAUAACCCCUAAAUCCACAAUUAUAUGGUCAAUUAAUCUACAACAAAAACAAGAAUAUAUAAUGGGAAAAGUCUCUUCAACAAAUGAUAUUGGGAAAACUGGACAGCUACAUAUGGAAGAAUGGAACUGGACCUCUUUAUUAUAACCAUACACAAAAACCCAAGAUGAAUUAAGGAUCUAAAUGUGAGACUUGAAACCAUAAAUAUCCUAGAAGAGAGCAUAGGCAGUAAUUUCUCUGCUGUAGUCUGUAACAACAUUUUUCUAGAUAGGUCUCCUGAGGCAAGGGAAACCAAAGCAAAAAUAAAUUAUUGGGAUUACAUUAAAAAAAAAAAAAAAAACUUCUGCACAUAAAAGGCAACCCAUUGAAAGGCAGAAGAUACUUGCAAGUGACAUAUCCCUUAAAGAGUUGGUAUCCAAAAUAUAUAAAAGAGCUGAUACAACUCAACACCCAAAAAACAACUAAUCCAAUUCAAAAAUGUCAAAAAUGGGUAGAAGACAUGAGACAUUUCUCCAAAGAAGACAUCCAGAUGCCCACAGACAUAUGAAAAGAUGCUCAAAAUCAAUCAUCAGGGAAAUACAAGUCAAAACCACAAUGAGAUCUCACCUCCCACCUGUAAAAAUGGCUAAAAUCAACAAUACGAGAAACACCAAGUGUUGGCAAGGAUAUGGAGAAAAAAUAACCCUCUUGUACUAUUGGUGGGAAUACAACUGGUGCAGCCACUGUGGAUAACAGGAUGAAGAUUAUUCAAAACAAUUAAAAAUAGUAGCAGAAUUACUGGAUUAUAUGAUAAUUCUGAGUACCCACAGAAAACUAAAACACUAAAUUGAAAAGAUAUAUGCAUCCCUAUGUUUAAUGCAACAUUAUUUACAAGAGCCAAGAUAUAGAAGCAAUCCAAGGGUCCAUCCAUAGAUGAGUGGAUAAAGAAGAUGUAGUAUAUAUACAGUGGAACAUUACUCUGCCAUAAAAAAGAAUGAGACCUUGCCAUUUGCAACAUGGAUGGAUCUAGAGGGUAUAAUUCUAAGUGAAGUCAGAGAAAGAUCCUAUGAUUUCACUGAUAUGUGGAAUUUCAGAAACAGAAGGGAAAAAAAAAAAACCAAAAAGCAGACUCUUAACUGUGGAGAACAAAUGGAUGGUUACCAGAGGGGAGAUGAGGGAGUGAAAUAGGUGAUGGGGAUUAAGAGUACACUUCUCAUGACGAGCACUGAGUAAUGUAUAGAAUUUUUGAAUUGUAUUGUACACAUGAAAUGUUAUGUUAAUUACAUUUAGAUUAAAAAUAAAAAAAUUAAAGAUACAACUUAAAAAAAUGA